rnacentral:rRNA from 1 species
AGAACGAACGCUGGCGGCGUGGAUAAGACAUGCAAGUCGAACGGGAUAUCUUUUGUAGCAAUACAGGGGGAUGUUCAGUGGCGUAAGGGUGCGUAACACGUGGGCAAUCUGCCAAUUGAAGUGGGGGAUAGCUCGCCGAAAGGCGAAUUAAUACCGCAUGUGGUUAAGAGAGGAUUCUCUCUGACACCAAAGCCGGGGACCGUCGCAAGACGGCCUGGCGCUUCUUGAUGAGCCCGCGGCCUAUCAGUCUUGUUGGUGAGGUCACGGCUCACCAAGGCGAUGACGGGUAGCUGGUCUGGAGACGGACGACCAGCCACACGUGGAACUGACGACGACGGUCCAGAACACCGUACGGGUGGCAGCAGUCGAGUAACUUUUUCUCGAGGUGGGGACCAACCCGUGAAGGA